GUUAGAAUGCUGAGGGGAGAGAAAGGAAGGAAGGAGGGAGUGAAGAGACCUGCUUCAGUAUCCCUGUCCAGAACAGCUACUCUCACCUGUCCUGGCUGCCAAACUCUCCAAGAAGAUGCUGUGGCAAUGGUGCCCAAGAGGUGAUCUGUAGGAUUCUCUAAAAGGAAGCCAAAAAGGGAGACUUGGAAAUGUUGUCCCAGAGAACUGCCGUCCAGAGGAGCAUCCCACAGGACCACUAGCAUUUCAUGUUCUGGAUCUGUGGAGACGUGCAAGAUUUAGUGAUAAAGGCAGGAGGAAAUCAAGGAAGGAAAAAACAGUGUUCCAGGAGGUCAGCAACUGGCAACAUUCUUCCUAGAAAAGUAAAGUUGAUGCCAAAUGAAGCCUCAAGUUGGUCUUACUCUUGUCUGUGUAUGGCAGAGGAAGGUUUCUGACAAAAUUUCAUACAGCUAGAAGUAAAAGAAUGCUUUAAUUCAGCCUUCAACAGAAAUGAAGGACAUCAUGACCCAGACACGCAGAUCUUGUUGUAUGGAUGCAGAUGAGUUUAUACAGUUAGGCAGCAGAUUAAGAUUAACAUGGUUGCAAAGGGCAGACUCCUGGCCUGUAACUCUGCAUGGAAUAUCAGCAUACAAACUUCCCAGAGUCAUCUCCAAGUUGUCAUGGGCAACCUCUUCUCUGCUACCAGAGAGGAAUAAACCAAGACCACCAGCAAAGUCAUUAUGUAAUAUGCUCUGGA